AGCUGCAUAGUGUAGGUGGUUAUCACGGCAGAUUCUGAUUUCGACGGAAAUCUCUGCAAACCACAGUUCGACUCUGUGUGCGGCCU